GUGCUCGCUUUGGCAGCACAUACACUAAAAUUGGAAUGAUACAGAGAAGAUUAGCACAGCCCUUGCACAAGGGUAACAUGCACAUUUGUGAAGCGUUCCAUAUUUUU